rnacentral:lncRNA from 1 species
GGAGAGGCGCCUGCAGCUGCAGGGGCCGCCAAAGGCUGGAUCUCGCAGAAUCGUGAGGUAUAAUUCGUUUCUUCCUGAUCUGGAUCCGGUUAACUUGGUUUGGCUAAAUUAGUUUCUUCGGCUAAACUCAUGGGGUUGUGCAUCCUCAGUGCAAAUUACUGGUCAUGCACCAUAGGUCUUCUUCUGUUCUAGGUCGUUCAAUCCAACUCGUGCCAAUUUUGGUCAUCCCCCAUAGAUUUACAGUGCUUAUUUGGUCGUUUAAGGUGCUCCUACGGUCUGCUCUAGUGAGUUCAGUUGUUGCCAGAUAACUGCCACACGCUUCUUUACAUAUCAGAUGCAUCUUGAUUUCUUUGCCAACUAAACGGUGCAAAAAGUUCAUAUACAUAAGUUAGUGUCGGAUGGAGGUCACAACUGUGUGUGGACUUAAAACAGAUGCUAGUGCGGAAGAAAUGAAGAGGAUAUUGUUAUUUAGCCAUUAAUUACCAUCUUAAGUGCAAAUCAUUUUUGAUUCACUCUAGCUAUGAAUUGGUUGGUAUAUGAUGUUUUUUUCCAAGGGGCCUGCUUAUUUUUUGCCUUGAUAAAUAUAGCUCAUUAUUCAUUGUUAUCUCCUCUUUAUGAAUAAAUAGUAUACUCAUGUUGACUUGCCUGCCAACUAAUUUGUUUCAGAAUCUUCACAUGCAUAGGUACUUGAGAAAGGGAGGGGAAUCAGAAUUGUUGUGGAGGAAAUGAAAAUAUCUUGUUAUUUGGCUGCUAACAUCCAUGUUCUUUUAGACUGAACAUUGCCAUGGGUGUUUCUCUACGCAGCGAAUAUAUUAGAUCAAGCAUCAUAUCAUGGACACCAUAAGACUUUUCUGUCUUGAUAAUGAUGUCUACAGGUUGGACCCUACUUUUGUUUAUGAGCUCAUUCAAGUAACUCUCCUAGCUCAAAUGGGUCAAUUUCAUGUUUACAUGAUAGAUGAUACACAAAUCUUCAGCCAUCCAUCUCCAUAUGAACUGGUCUUGCUUAAUUUUGUAGUCUUCUGGAUAUAUGCUUACAUAUAAUAAAUAAUGUGAAGGUAGAUCAUAGAACGACAACAUAAUCUUUAGUCUUGAACAAAUUAUGGUAGACUAGAGAUAGAACACUAUACGAACCAGACACAUACCGACGAUAUGGAAACUAGCAAAGAAAUAGUAAAAGAAGUUCCUGACUUGUAGAUUAUGUCAACGUGAUAAUCUGGAGUCAAGCUUCUUUUACUACUAAUUUUGAUCUACCUUGUCAUCGAUAGGAUUAGUUAUUAUAUCUAAGCAUGUGUUCAGAAGAUUAGGAGAUUAAGCAAGGUCACUUGAUAUGUAAAUGGAUGGCUGAAUGUUUUGUGUAUCAUGAAGAACAAGAGACUAGCCUAUUUGAGCUCGGUGGUAGAGUUACUCAAUGAGAUCAUAAAUAGAAGCAUGAUCGAUCAAUAGACAUCAAUGUUGAUGAAGGCAAUGAAAAAAAAUCUUAUGGUAUACAUGAUAUGAUGAUUGAUCCCAUAUGUUUUUGCCAAGUGAAGAAACCCACUUGCAUGGCACUGAGUGAAAACUGUCUAUCCAAAGGCAAGAUUUGAAUAUUAUCCAUCCGAAAGAGAAUGUCACAUAUGGUCGCCAUCAAAAGAAGCAACAAUGCCACAAGUGAGCUCUCUUGUAUAUCCAUGUGCUAUUGUUGAUUCAGUGCCGCGUAUGUUGAGUGAGCAUUUAUGUUCUACAUGUGUUAGGUUUAAAAUAUUGUGCUGAACACUUCCAUUCUUGCCAAUUGAGAUGGUGAGACUCAGGAACACUGCAUUUGCCAUGGUGUUUUGAUUUGUCUUGUGCAGCGACAUGAAAUUCUUAUUGUAAUUGUACCCACUAAUGACUGAAUACUGCUGUCACUUCGGUUAGAUUCAAGAAGCGCCAAGUUUCGGCGGCGCCUCCUGCACUUUGCUAAUGAUGAACUUCCCUCUCCAUUUCUUUCUUUUGUAAGGAAGAGUUAUGCACUUAUGAUGUAUGGCUGGCUGGUUAAUUUUCUGUCAAUUCAACAACCAGUUUGUAGGGCGGCCACUGCAAUUUGCUCGUAUGCACCAUUAGUUAUUAUAUAUGUACUGAUGUCUGGCUUGCUUGCUCUCCUGCAUUCUCGAUUACACUCCCUUGUUUGUAACAGCUUUAUUUCAGACUCGCAAACUAAGAGGCCGCAUUCAGUUUGUCCUAUGUUCUGAAGUUCCAUUUUCUGUUUGUCAUUUUGAUCAAAUAAACAGGGAAGUCAGCAGUGUCAUUUCGAUGUACCUGCUUAGGACCUGCAUUGAGUACAUCUUUCUGUUGGAAUACAAGUGGAACUUGAGUUGCCAUUUCGUCUCGUGGGUUGGUGAUGUACAUCUUUCUGUCAAUCACGCUGGAGUGGAAGUAUUGCCCUCAACUGAUGCAACGCUUUCUGGGCGAGAGAAUGAUUGGAUGUUGCCCCCAACUCAAGUGACUCUUCUAUCUCUGUACAGGGGAGCAAAUCAUGAGAUGUUUUAUUUUGCUAUUUUGCGACAAAAUCAUAUGGUGCCGCAGACAAAUAAGACCCGUCUACUAGCAACUUGAUAUGAUAAAUUCACAGAAGCAUCUUGUUCAGUUGCUCCCACAUACUUGUUCUUGUUCUUGUAGCAUCUAGUGAUUCCUCUUGCCACGGUCAAGCUACGUUGAUAGGCUGCUUUGGCCGAGCUGUCGUUGUUUGCACAGAUAUAUCAAACUGAAGUCUGUUUAAUUUGCACAAGGGAAUGAGCAUCAGUGAGUGACCAUGGGCAAGAGAAUGAGCGGCGGCCGUAGGCAAUCCGAGUGUUUUAUUUGCAAGCGCCAUUUUCUUCAUGGACACAUGAGGAAUUGAUCUUAAUUAGCACAUGGAAUGGAAUCGGUAAAGUGGGUACGCAUGGUGGUGCGUGGCGUG